GCCCGGGUGGUGAAAUUGGUAGACACGCCAGAUUUAGGAUCUGGUGCCGCAAGGCGUGUGGGUUCGAGUCCCCCCCCGGGUACCA
rnacentral:tRNA from 1 species